rnacentral:misc_RNA from 1 species
GAUGAAGAACGCAGCGAAAUGCGAUAAGUAAUGUGAAUUGCAGAAUUCAGUGAAUCAUCGAAUCUUUGAACGCACAUUGCGCCCCCCAGUAUUCUGGCGGACAUGCCUGUUCGAGCGUCAUUUCAACCAUCAAGCCCUGCUUGUGUUGGGGUCCUGCGGCUGCCCGCAGGCCCUGAAAACCAGUGGCGGGCUCGCUAGUCACACCGAGCGCAGUAGCACAUCUCGCUCAGGGCGUGCGGCGGGCUCCAGCCGUUAAAGCACCCACCUUUCGCAAGGUUGACCUCGGAUCAGGUAGGAAUACCCGCUGAACUUAAGCAUAUCAAUAAGCGGAGGA